rnacentral:rRNA from 1 species
GAUGAACGCUGGCGGCGUGCCUAAUACAUGCAAGUCGAGCGAACAGACGAGGAGCUUGCUCCUCUGACGUUAGCGGCGGACGGGUGAGUAACACGUGGAUAACCUACCUAUAAGACUGGGAUAACUUCGGGAAACCGGAGCUAAUACCGGAUAAUAUAUUGAACCGCAUGGUUCAAUAGUGAAAGACGGUUUUGCUGUCACUUAUAGAUGGAUCCGCGCCGCAUUAGCUAGUUGGUAAGGUAACGGCUUACCAAGGCGACGAUGCGUAGCCGACCUGAGAGAGUGAUCGCCCACACUGGAACAGAGACACGGUCCAGACACCUACGAGGGGCGGAAGUAGAGAAACUUCCGCGAUAGGCGAAAGCCUGACGGAGAGACACCGCGUGAGAGAUAAAGAUCUUCGGAUCUUAAAACACUGUUAUUAGGGAAAAACAAAUAUGUAAAAGAAUAUACACGUCUUGACGGUACCUAAUCAGAGAGACACGGCUAAAUACAUG